rnacentral:tRNA from 1 species
UAAAAAUUAAUAUAUUAAUAUAUUUGUUUUUUUAAUAUUAAAACAAAUUUAUAAUUAAACAUUUUUAUUCAAUAAAAAAAUAUAUUAUAAUUAAAAACAAGAACAAUUCACAAUAAGAAUUUUAAUGAAUGUUUUAAGUAUUCAAUUUUAUAAAAUUUUAUAAUUAAAUUUUAAAUUUUUUA